rnacentral:lncRNA from 1 species
GCACCUUUGUGGGCCGGGUUACUUGGAGACCAGGCGGGAACUGGAGCUCCCUCUCUCGCAGACGUUCUGUAACAUCAGAAAAGCGUACCCAUAAACAGAUUGGUUUUCACCAGGGGUGGAACCCAAUUUGGACACGAUCCAGGCUGACCUGCAGGCCGGGGUUCCUACUUUGAAAGGCUCUUUGGUGCGCCUUACACCCACCUUCCCUGCUGUAAAGGUUUAGGCGGAAAAGAAAUUGCGUUUGCAGGAGGAAGUUGUUUCUGAGGUUACUGCUCAGCAUUUUCCAUUUUCUCAGUGGUGGGGUGGGCCGUGUCGCAUAUCCAGAAGUGAUGUCACAGCCAGACCUGCAAAAUGAUGUAACCUGCAAGUGUUGAAGGACGACGAUGGGACAGCUAUUUUGAUACUCGUAUUAUUUUAUAACAUUUCCCUACUUUUUCCAUUGAGACAACUGUGUGACCUCAGAAAAUCCACAUAGCCUCUCUGAACUUAGUAUUUUUUUGUGUUAAAAUGAAUAUCACAAAGCCAGAGAACGAAUGUGAUGAAGUUCUGGGUGCUUGUGGAAUUCUUUCUAAGUUGGAGGUGGACACUUUAUAUACCUGCACAGGGGGAAGAUACGUGGGUCUGGAACUCCGUGUAUGCCUCCUUGAGAACGCGAACCUUUAAACAACAACAACAACAACAACAACGAAACGAAGACAGAGUCCUGCCUGCUCUCCCAGGCUAGAGUGCAGCGUGCAAUCGUAGCCUACAGUAAGGUAGAAUUCCUGGCCUCAAGCUAUCCUCCAGCCCCACCGUGGCCUCCUGAAGGGCUCCGAUUACAGGAGGGAGCCACUGCACCCAUCCAAACCUGUCUUUUAUUCUGUAUCUCCUGUGCCCAGAGCAGUCCCUGGCCCUGAUAAGGGCUCAACAAAUAUGUUGAGUGAAUGAACAAAUACAUUCAGGAGUGUAGGGAUUGAUA